rnacentral:rRNA from 1 species
GACGAACGCUGGCGGCGUGGAUUAGGCAUGCAAGUCGAACGGUAUCAUCCUUUCGGGGGUGAGAGAGUGGCGAACUGGUGAGUAACACGUAGGUUAUCUACCCUCAAGACGGGGACAACCCAGGGAAACUUGGGCUAAUACCGGAUGUGAGCAACUUUUAGUUGUUUGAAAGGUGGCGUAAGCUGUCGCUUGGGGAUGAGCCUGCGUCCUAUUAGUUAGUUGGUGAGGUAACGGCUCACCUAGGCAAUGAUAGGUAGGCGGCCUUAACGGGUGGUCGCCCACACUGGGAUUGAGAUACGGCCCAGACUCCUACAGGAGGCAGCAGUCGAGAAUAGUCUACAAUGGUCGGAAGACUGAUAGUGCGACGCCGCGUGAACGAUGAAUCCCUUCGGGGUGUAAAGUUCUUUUAUAUGUGAGCAGUGCUUCUUAUAUUAACAGUAUGGGGAGAGAGAUAUUAGCAUAUGAAUAAGCAACGGCUAACUCCGUGCCAGCAGCCGCGGUAAA